GGGAUAUGAUGAGUGGUCAAUGCUCGCAUUGUAAUAUGUGGGAAGGGCGUUCCAGCCUAGCCUGGUUACGAUAAUUUGGGUGUCCUCAAUUUUUACCAAUUUUAUUCC